AAGAAGUUUGCGGCCUCCAUGUCCAAGAAUUUUGAAAUGUCACUCAAUGCGGAUUUGAAGUUCUUUCUCGGAUUCCAAAUUCAACAAUUUAAAAAAGGAACUUUCUUGUCUCAAGCUAAAUAUCUCAAGGAUAUCCUAGAGAAGUUUGGCAUGUAUGAUGCUAGUCCAUGUAAGACACCCAUGCCAACCAAAAGUGUACUCACUGAAAACACAAAUGGUAUCCCUUUUGACCCAUCUAUUUACCGCUAUAUGAUUGGUUCAUUGCUUUAUCUUUGUGCAUCUAGACCAGACAUCAUGUUUAGUGUAUGCAUGUGUGCUAGAUUUCAAGCUUCCCCUAGGGAAAGUCAUCAUAAGGCGGUUAAGAAUAUUCUUAGAUACUUUGUUCACUCCCCAAAGUUGGGUCUAUGGUACCACAAGGAUGCUAAGUUUGAUCUUAUUGGGUACACGGAUGCGGAUUGGGAUGGAGACAAAGUGGAUCGUAAGUCCACCUCUAGUGCAUGUCAA
rnacentral:rRNA from 1 species